CUCNUGGUGUAGCGGUGGAAUGCGCAGAUAUCAGGAAGAACACCGGUGGCGAAGGCGGGUCUCUGGNCCGUUACUGACGCUGAGGAGCGAAAGCGUGGGGAGCGAACAGGAUUAGAUACCCUGGUAGUNCACGCUGUAAACGUUGGGCACUAGGUGUGGGGGCCACCCGUGGUUUNUGCGCCGUAGCUAACGCUUUAAGUGCCCCGCCUGGGGAGUACGGCCGCAAGGCUAAAACUCAAAGGAAUUGACGGGGGCCCGCACAAGCGGCGGAGCAUGCGGAUUAAUUCGAUGCAACGCGAAGAACCUUACCAAGGCUUGACAUGCACGGCGGCACUGCAGAGAUGUGGUGGCAUUUAGUUGGUCGUGUGCAGGUGGUGCAUGGUUGUCGUCAGCUCGUGUCGUGAGAUGUUGGGUUAAGUCCCGCAACGAGCGCAACCCUUGCCCUAUGUUGCCAGCACGUGAUGGUGGGGACUCGUGGGGGACUGCCGGGGUUAACUCGGAGGAAGGUGGGGAUGACGUCAAAUCAUCAUGCCCCUUAUGUCUUGGGCUUCACGCAUGCUACAAUGGUUGGUACAGAGGGUUGCGAUAUCGUGAGGUGGAGCGAAUCCCUUAAAGCCAGUCUCAGUUCGGAUUGGGGUCUGCAACUCGACCCCAUGAAGGUGGAGUCGCUAGUAAUCGCAGAUCAGCAACGCUGCGGUGAAUACGUUCUCGGGCCUUGUACACACCGCCCGUCACGUCACGAAAGUUGGUAACACCCGAAGCCC
rnacentral:rRNA from 1 species